GGGCGCUCUUGACUUGUUUGUCAUGAGCGUUGAGCAAUUUGCUUGUGGCAGAUAAAUCAAAGCCCCGUUAUCCGGUUACUGUUAGCGCAGUAACUUUCAUUUAACGAGGCCGUGAUGAUGUGUACCAAACUCAUUGUAGAGCCUCUUUACUGUGGAGGCAACAAAAAUGCCGAAAAA
rnacentral:misc_RNA from 1 species